rnacentral:tRNA from 1 species
GCGAAGGUGGCGGAACUGGUAGACGCGCUAGCUUGAGGUGCUAGUGGCCUUUUUGGCUGUAGGGGUUCAAGUCCCCUCCUUCGCACCA